AAAGUACUCCCUCCGUCCCAAAAUUCUUGUCUUAGAUUUGUCUAGAUACAGAUGUAUCAAGUCACAUUUUAGUAUUAGAUACAUCCGUAUCUAGACAAAUCUAAGACAAGAAAUUUGGGACAAAGGGAGUAGUUG
rfam:Triticum aestivum genome assembly, contig: Triticum_aestivum_CS42_TGACv1_scaffold_579302_7BL